rnacentral:rRNA from 1 species
GACGAACGCUUGCGGCGUGCUUAACACAUGCAAGUCGAACGGAAAGGCCCUGCUUUUGUGGGGUGCUCGAGUGGCGAACGGGUGAGUAACACGUGAGUAACCUGCCCUUGACUUUGGGAUAACUUCAGGAAACUGGGGCUAAUACCGGAUAGGAGCUCCUGCUGCAUGGUGGGGGUUGGAAAGUUUCGGCGGUUGGGGAUGGACUCGCGGCUUAUCAGCUUGUUGGUGGGGUAGUGGCUUACCAAGGCUUUGACGGGUAGCCGGCCUGAGAGGGUGACCGGCCACAUUGGGACUGAGAUACGGCCCAGACUCCUACGGGAGGCAGCAGUGGGGAAUAUUGCACAAUGGGCGGAAGCCUGAUGCAGCAACGCCGCGUGCGGGAUGACGGCCUUCGGGUUGUAAACCGCUUUCGCCUGUGACGAAGCGUGAGUGACGGUAAUGGGUAAAGAAGCACCGGCUAACUACGUGCCAGCAGCCGCGGUGAUACGUAGGGUGCGAGCGUUGUCCGGAUUUAUUGGGCGUAAAGGGCUCGUAGGUGGUUGAUCGCGUCGGAAGUGUAAUCUUGGGGCUUAACCCUGAGCGUGCUUUCGAUACGGGUUGACUUGAGGAAGGUAGGGGAGAAUGGAAUUCCUGGUGGAGCGGUGGAAUGCGCAGAUAUCAGGAGGAACACCAGUGGCGAAGGCGGUUCUCUGGGCCUUUCCUGACGCUGAGGAGCGAAAGCGUGGGGAGCGAACAGGCUUAGAUACCCUGGUAGUCCACGCUGUAAACGGUGGGUACUAGGUGUGGGGUCCAUUCCACGGGUUCCGUGCCGUAGCUAACGCUUUAAGUACCCCGCCUGGGGAGUACGGCCGCAAGGCUAAAACUCAAAGGAAUUGACGGGGCCCCGCACAAGCGGCGGAGCAUGCGGAUUAAUUCGAUGCAACGCGUAGAACCUUACCUGGGUUUGACAUGGAUCGGGAGUGCUCAGAGAUGGGUGUGCCUCUUUUGGGGUCGGUUCACAGGUGGUGCAUGGCUGUCGUCAGCUCGUGUCGUGAGAUGUUGGGUUAAGUCCCGCAACGGGCGCAACCCUUGUUCACUGUUGCCAGCACGUUAUGGUGGGGACUCAGUGGAGACCGCCGGGGUCAACUCGGAGGAAGGUGGGGAUGACGUCAAGUCAUCAUGCCCCUUAUGUCCAGGGCUUCACGCAUGCUACAAUGGCUGGUACAGAGAGUGGCGAGCCUGUGAGGGUGAGCGAAUCUCGGAAAGCCGGUCUCAGUUCGGAUUGGGGUCUGCAACUCGACCUCAUGAAGUCGGAGUCGCUAGUAAUCGCAGAUCAGCAACGCUGCGGUGAAUACGUUCCCGGG